UGGGGAAUUUUGGACAAUGGGCGAAAGCCUGAUCCAGCAAUGCCGCGUGUGUGAAGAAGGCCUUCGGGUUGUAAAGCACUUUUGUCCGGAAAGAAAUCCUUGGCUCUAAUACAGUCGGGGGAUGACGGUACCGGAAGAAUAAGCACCGGCUAACUACGUGCCAGCAGCCGCGGUAAUACGUAGGGUGCAAGCGUUAAUCGGAAUUACUGGGCGUAAAGCGUGCGCAGGCGGUUUGCUAAGACCGAUGUGAAAUCCCCGGGCUCAACCUGGGAACUGCAUUGGUGACUGGCAGGCUAGAGUAUGGCAGAGGGGGGUAGAAUUCCACGUGUAGCAGUGAAAUGCGUAGAGAUGUGGAGGAAUACCGAUGGCGAAGGCAGCCCCCUGGGCCAAUACUGACGCUCAUGCACGAAAGCGUGGGGAGCAAACAGGAUUAGAUACCCUGGUAGUCCACGCCCUAAACGAUGUCAACUAGUUGUUGGGGAUUCAUUUCCUUAGUAACGUAGCUAACGCGUGAAGUUGACCGCCUGGGGAGUACGGUCGCAAGAUUAAAACUUAAAUGAAUUGAC
rnacentral:rRNA from 1 species